CCAGACACGGACCUCCCCCUCGACGGCCCGGGGCACCGAGCAGUCACGUCGGGACCGGCCGACACGCGCGCGCCCUCGCUCGAGCGGACAGGAGAGGGGUGGCAACGAGGGCCAAGGCCCAAGGCCCCUCCCCCCCACCCACCCAGGAGCGGCACGGCUAUGACGGCCGGCCCGCAGCGGCUAGCCGGGUCCCGACUCGCGCUCAGGUGAGCUCAGCAGAGCCGGGAGGGAGGGGCACGCGGCAGGGGGUGGGGGGUGGCAGAAGGCCACCCCUCGACCACACGCAACGACACCGGCGGACAGGCGGGGCAAGGAAGCGGCGGCGGGCACGGAGCGGGGCCGCAGCGGGCCCAGGAAAGCGAGACGCACCAGGACGCCGGUCCGGGGUCGGCAGAUGGGGACCAGACAGACGGAGGUCAGACAGACGAGCGGGAGCGAGGAGGGCGAACGUGGGAGCGGCCGGCAUCGAGAGAGAUGCCACAAAGGGACGGUGGCGGAGGGGCGGCCGCAGGCCUCCAACGAGGUGGGGGGGGCCACGGGGACCAUCCCCAAAAACCAGAUGCGAGUCGGCUGCCAGGGCACGACACGGGGUCUCACCGCCAGAGGCCUCCAGCACAACGGCGGUCCCGCCGCAACACCCAGGACGCCGACUGGCCUCCCCCUCAACCCCUGGGGCCCCCCCUCGCGGGGCCCCACGACCGCCACCGACGACACCGACGAGCCACAGCCGGCCCCGUGGAAACAAGUCUCCCAAGGCACCUACCGACGACCACCCCCACACCCCACACGCACCCGCCGUGCCCAACCCUCUUCCCCACCCCCCCGCGCACAGGGGGACACCCGAGAAGCACAUCACCCAGGGACACCCGCCCGGCCACGGCGGCCAGGGGGUGACACCCACACGAGGUGAGGCCAUUUCAGGUCCCCGGUUGACACGGGGGCGGGAGGGAGAGAGACAUGGCACAGGCAAGGCAGGGACGCGGGUGCCUGCCCAGGGAGAGGAGAAAGGACCCAGGCACGCCAGGCAAACCAGCACGGGGUCACACCACCACACACACGAGGGCAGUCCCAUGACACCUGGGACACCAGGCGGCCUCAGUCGCCCAGAGCACUCCACGACCCGGCCCCACCCAGGGCCCCAUGUGCAAAGCUUCCCCCCCCCUGCCACGUGGGGGGGGGGCUCGUCCGCCUCAUCUCACCCAUCCGUCCAUCUUUCCACCCUCAUCUCAUCCGUCCUUCACCUAGUCCACCCUCCAGGGCCUGACGCCUGGGGGAAACGCUCCUGAGCGAGGCGGCCCGAACCAUGCUCGCUCACCACCUCCACACCACCAGCUGCGACC
rnacentral:lncRNA from 1 species